rnacentral:rRNA from 1 species
AUUGAACGCUGGCGGCAUGCUUUACACAUGCAAGUCGAACGGCAGCGCGGGCUUCGGCCUGGCGGCGAGUGGCGAACGGGUGAGUAAUGCAUCGGAACGUGCCCAGUAGUGGGGGAUAGCCCGGCGAAAGCCGGAUUAAUACCGCAUACGACCUGAGGGUGAAAGCGGGGGACCGAAAGGCCUCGCGCUAUUGGAGCGGCCGAUGUCGGAUUAGCUAGUUGGUGGGGUAAAGGCUUACCAAGGCGACGAUCCGUAGCUGGUCUGAGAGGACGACCAGCCACACUGGGGCUGAGACACGGCCCAGACUCCUACGGGAGGCAGCAGUGGGGAAUUUUGGACAAUGGGGGCAACCCUGAUCCAGCCAUGCCGCGUGCGGGAAGAAGGCCUUCGGGUUGUAAACCGCUUUUGUUCGGGAAGAAAUCCUCUGGGCUAAUACCCCGGGGGGAUGACGGUACCGGAAGAAUAAGCACCGGCUAACUACGU